GUCAGAAGUCUUCCUACAUGGUAU
rnacentral:miRNA from 1 species